CUGAACCAGCCAAGUAGCGUGAAGGAUGAAGGCUCUAUGGGUCGUAAACUUCUUUUAUAUGGGAAUAAAGUUUUCCACGUGUGGAAUUUUGUAUGUACCAUAUGAAUAAGGAUCGGCUAACUCCGUGCCAGCAGCCGCGGUAAUACGGGGGAUCCGAGCGUUAUCCGGAUUUAUUGGGUUUAAAGGGAGCGUAGGUGGAUUGUUAAGUCAGUUGUGAAAGUUUGCGG
rnacentral:rRNA from 1 species